UUCUGGCGGCGGCCUAACACAUGCAAGUCGGACGGUAGCACAGAGAGCUUGCUCUCGGGUGACGAGUGGCGGACGGGUGAGUAAUGUCUGGGGAUCUGCCCGAUAGAGGGGGAUAACCACUGGAAACGGUGGCUAAUACCGCAUAACGUCGCAAGACCAAAGAGGGGGACCUUCGGGCCUCUCACUAUCGGAUGAACCCAGAUGGGAUUAGCUAGUAGGCGGGGUAAUGGCCCACCUAGGCGACGAUCCCUAGCUGGUCUGAGAGGAUGACCAGCCACACUGGAACUGAGACACGGUCCAGACUCCUACGGGAGGCAGCAGUGGGGAAUAUUGCACAAUGGGCGCAAGCCUGAUGCAGCCAUGCCGCGUGUAUGAAGAAGGCCUUCGGGUUGUAAAGUACUUUCAGCGGGGAGGAAGGCGGUGCGGUUAAUAACCGCGCCGAUUGACGUUACCCGCAGAAGAAGCACCGGCUAACUCCGUGCCAGCAGCCGCGGUAAAA
rnacentral:rRNA from 1 species